UAACUUGUCCUUCUGCCCAGGACUUCUGCUUGUUUAGCCAGAUGCAGCUGGGUGGGGGACCGGGCUGGGGACUGGACAGGGGCUGGGUGGAGAGAAUGGACAAAGGCAGUGGGUGGAAGGGGGGCAUGGAUGAGCCAUCCUGGGACUGGAGAUUGCCAGCCCUGCCUCAUAGCUCAGCCUGGUGCUACUGGGGUAAAGGGCAGAGGGCAGCUGAACAGCAAAAGAGGCCCUGGAUUGGCCAGGGGGAUGGCUAUAGAGUGGGCAGAGGUCCUGGAGGGCUUGGAAAGCAGGGGCCCUAAUCUCCCUUCCUCAAACUCUAUCCCUAGAAAAUGGGACUCUCAUUGAGAAGGGGUCAUGUGUGGCCCCUGGAGAAUGCUAAGAAGGUGUCUACGCCCUGACCUACAGCCCCCAUGCAAGCCUCUGGGUCAGCACAGCCUCUUGUGAAAACAACUGCAGCCACCUUCCCCAGUAAGGUUUGUUGGGAGGACCUCAGGCUCACACACCAGGGUAGGGUGUCAUGGGGACCCAGCCUCAAUUUCCUGCCUCACAGCUUUUUGUCUGGCUGAUUGGGGCAAGAAGGAGACUCUCAGUUUUCUCAUCUGGAAAAUGGGUGUGAUGUAGGUUUUAAAGGGUGUUCAUCCCCUAGGCUGGCACGUGGUAGACACUCCUUUUGUUGCCAUGUUUAUUUGAAUACUGGGAGGCUAAAGAGAACUCCAAGCUCUUUUCUGUUUCUCUGUCUCUCUCUCUCUCUCUCUCUCUUUUUGAGACAGAGUCUCACUCUGUUGCCCAGGCUGGAGUACAAUGGCGCAAUCUUGGCCUACUGCAACCUCCACCUCCUGGUUCAAACGAUUCUCGUGGCUCAGCCUCACGAGUAGCUGGGAUUACAGAUGUACACAACCACGUCCGGCUAAUUUUUGUAUUUUUAGUAGAGUCAGGGUUUCGCCAUGCUGGCCAGUCUGGUCUCAAACUCUUGACCUUCAGUGACCUGCCCGCCUGGGCCUCUCAAAGUGCUGGGAUUACAGGCAUGAAUCUCUGUGCCCCGCCUCUCUUUUUGUCUUUAAUAGAGGGGCUCCCCUUGAAGGCUAGUCAAACAGAACAAGAAACCUCACAAGUGGUGAUAGGCCCAGGUCUAGGGGAGCCCAGCCAGGAGCCCAGGAUGCAAAAAUGUUUAUUCUUUAUUUUUUAUUUUUAUUUUUUUU
rnacentral:lncRNA from 1 species